rnacentral:rRNA from 1 species
AAUGGCGACCGGCGCACGGGUGAGUAACACGUAUCCAGCCUGCCGAUAACUCUGGAAUAGCCUUUCGAAAGAAAGAUUAAUACCGGAUGGCAUACGAAUAUCGCAUGACAUUUUUAUUAAAGAAUUUCGGUUAUCGAUGGGGAUGCGUUCCAUUAGUUUGUUGGCGGGGUAACGGCCCACCAAGACAACGAUGGAUAGGGGUUCUGAGAGGAAGGUCCCCCACAUUGGAACUGAGACACGGUCCAA